UACAGAGACUGCAAGCGUUAUUCGGAUUCACUGGGCGUAAAGGGUGCGCAGGCGGCCAAGUGUGUGAGGCGUGGAAGCCUGGAGCUUAACUCCAGAAUUGCACCUCAAACUACAUGGCUAGAGCAUUGGAGAGGGUAGCAGAAUUCAUGGUGUAGCAGUGAAAUGCGUAGAUAUCAUGAGGAAUACCAGAGGCGAAGGCGGCUACCUGGACAAUUGCUGACGCUCAGGCACGAAAGCGUGGGGAGCAAAAGGG
rnacentral:rRNA from 1 species